rnacentral:rRNA from 1 species
AGUGAACGCUGGCGGCGUGGAUAAGGCAUGCAAGUCGAGCGAUACUCGCAAGGGUAUAGCGGCAAACGGGUGAGUAACACGUAGAUAACCUACCCCUAAGCGCGGGAUAGUCCGGCGAAGGUCGGAGUAAUACCGCAUGUGAUUCCGAAGUGGCAUCACUUUGGAAAGAAAGAUGGCCUAGACCGCAAGGUUGCUAUCACUUUAGGUA